rnacentral:lncRNA from 1 species
AUCGACUAUGGGGUAAGGCGAAUCGAUUGGUUGGGCUUAAAACUUCACAUUUUCAAAGGAAAUAGAAAGGACAGCCGAUUGUAAGAAAGGGCCAAUCGAUUGGCCCCUGAAAAAUCUCAUUUUCCAAAAAUAAUCAGUAGCUCCUCCCAAUCGAUUGGCCUGGAAGAGCGCCCAGGACCAAUCGAUUGGUCCAUGUUAUCUUUAACAAAAUCUCCCUGAAACUUCCAUUUUCCACCUGCAUAAUCUCCAAAAUAUCUCUUCUAAACACU